AGAGUUUGAUCAUGGCUCAGGAUGAACGCCGGCGGUGUGCCUAAUACAUGCAAGUCGUACGCACUGGCCCAACUGAUUGAUGGUGCUUGCACCUGAUUGACGAUGGAUCACCAGUGAGUGGCGGACGGGUGAGUAACACGUAGGUAACCUGCCCCGGAGCGGGGGAUAACAUUUGGAAACAGAUGCUAAUACCGCAUAACAACAAAAGCCACAUGGCUUUUGUUUGAAAGAUGGCUUUGGCUAUCACUCUGGGAUGGACCUGCGGUGCAUUAGCUAGUUGGUAAGGUAACGGCUUACCAAGGCGAUGAUGCAUAGCCGAGUUGAGAGACUGAUCGGCCACAAUGGAACUGAGACACGGUCCAUACUCCUACGGGAGGCAGCAGUAGGGAAUCUUCCACAAUGGGCGCAAGCCUGAUGGAGCAACACCGCGUGAGUGAAGAAGGGUUUCGGCUCGUAAAGCUCUGUUGUUGGAGAAGAACGUGCGUGAGAGUAACUGUUCACGCAGUGACGGUACCCAACCAGAAAGUCACGGCUAACUACGUGCCAGCAGCCGCGGUAAUACGUAGGUGGCAAGCGUUAUCCGGAUUUAUUGGGCGUAAAGCGAGCGCAGGCGGUUGCUUAGGUCUGAUGUGAAAGCCUUCGGCUUAACCGAAGAAGUGCAUCGGAAACCGGGCAACUUGAGUGCAGAAGAGGACAGUGGAACUCCAUGUGUAGCGGUGGAAUGCGUAGAUAUAUGGAAGAACACCAGUGGCGAAGGCGGCUGUCUGGUCUGCAACUGACGCUGAGGCUCGAAAGCAUGGGUAGCGAACAGGAUUAGAUACCCUGGUAGUCCAUGCCGUAAACGAUGAGUGCUAGGUGUUGGAGGGUUUCCGCCCUUCAGUGCCGGAGCU
rnacentral:rRNA from 1 species